rnacentral:rRNA from 1 species
CCCUUAGAUGUCCUGGGCCGCACGCGCGUUACACUGAUGCAUUCAACGAGCUUAUAACCUUGGCCGAGAGGCUUGGGCAAUCUUGUUAACGUGCAUCGUGAUAGGGAUAGAUUAUUGAAAUUAUUAAUCUUGAACGAGGAAUUCCUAGUAAACGCAGAUCAUCAAUCUGCAUUGAUUACGUCCCUGCCCUUUGUACACACCGCCCGUCGCACCUACCGAUUGGAUGGUCCGGUGAAGCCUCGGGAUUGUGGUUCUUGCCGCUUUAUUGUGGCGUGACCGCGAGAACUUGUCUAAACCUUAUCAUCUAGAGGAAGGUGAAGUCGUAACA